GUUCUGACUGACAUAACUGAACUUAUACAUAGAGUCUGUCAUCUAUGAAGAGUUCAGUGGGAAUAUUUGUUACUCAGACUAUUUUGACUAGCAAGUUCUUCAUCAGUUAACAGAGUCUGAGGAAGAGCUGGGAUCUGUGCCUUGGAUGAGCCUGUUCACCACAGAGAAGAUGUCCUGGUCCCUUUGCCCUAGCUUCUCUGAGGCCAGUGGAGGAGCCAUCAGCCCAUCAGAGGACCCUCUCCACAGCCCAGAAGAACUCAGGGACACAAAGGUAAUGCCAUUCUCCAUACCAAGCAAAGUAUCAGCACUAUUAUGAACUCAUGAUCUGAAAGCCUCCAUAACAUCUCAGAGAAUGAAACCAAUCACCUAACAUAACAGAAGUGUUUUAUUUUCAUCAAUAUUUUUAAACUAUCUGCACACAGAAGAGUUCCCACAUCUGUAUAGAAGUACUUAAAAAUGACAGUUUAUUUGUCUUAAACUCUUCUAUGCAACAGAGCUGUGCUAUUCACAUACAUGGAGUAGCAUGUUAUUCUUACAGAAGUGCUUAAUUAGACACAAAGGAGAAAUCUAAGUUGUGAAAUAUCUUUGAAAAUUUUCUUUUUGAUGCUUCUUUUUUCUGUCUUUUCUCUCCAAAUGUAAUUUAUGCCUAAUAGAUUUUUUUUUUCAUUUUCAUCCUCAUAAUUUUAAUCAAAAUAACAAUUUAUUUCUAUCAAAAUGUGUGAAAAAGUAAAUAUGUUUCUACUAAAGUGAAUGUUUCUAUUCUAUUUUAAUGCCUG
rnacentral:lncRNA from 1 species